CAAAGGGCUGCGUCCUGGCGCCGCGAGUCUGGUUGUCGCUGCCAUUCAGCGAGAGCCCGGUGGGGCGCCCACCCCAGCCGCAGAUUUGCAGCCCAGAACCCCCUUUUCCAGACCCCGCCAAGUCAGCCCGCUGCGCAGGGUCCCAAUUCAAGACGGAAAACUGCACCUGGAGAUCUAAACCCCAGUUCCGCACAGCUCAACCGAUCGAGCGCCUCCGCUUCCUCCCCUGUGAACUGGCCCCCCUGAUCCUACCUACUGGGUAAAACUAAAUCCAGCAAUCCCUCCGUUUAACCACAGGGCCUGCAGACCUGGCUCCCUGCGCACUGGCACCUCGGGCUAGACAAGGCCUGUGAGUGCAUGUGCAUUGUUCUCUCUCACCAAGAUGAAUGGGUAAAGCAGCUAUUGAGGGCACAGGCAGGAGAAAACUGGGUGGUGAGUCUCCCAGAGCUCCUAGGCCAGCAAAGAAGGGCAGGUGACCCUGACACUGUCAUUGUAGUUCAGGGAAGGAUGUCUCCAUGGAGCUGGAGGCACUGGGGAGGGUGGCAGACAUGGUUGGUUCCCUAGAUCCACUCUCCUUUUUCCCUUCCUAUCAGAACUGCAAUGCGUUCAAUUUAAACUACCGAUUUCCCAGACUCCUUUGCAAUGAGGGGUGUCCAUAUGACCCAACUCUGGCCAAGGAGAUGGGAACAGAAUUGUCCUGAGUGAGAAUUCUAAGAAAGACACAGUAGUAUGUACCUUUUGCCCUUGACUUUUUUUCUUCCUGCUCCCCCCCCUCCCCCUCCUCCUCCUCCUCCUUCUCCUCUUAUUUCUCGGAAGGAUGGAUGUGAUGCCUGGAGGGGAAGCAGCCAUCUUGCAACCAGGAAGAAAGAAGUCUCCUACUAAGGAGGUCGGAUGGGCGGCCAUCAACAUCUGAAUGACUUCAUUGUGGAGUUCUGGCUUCAUGAGAAAAUUCAGCUCCUAUUACAUACAUGUGCAGUAGUUCAUUAUCUGUUCCAUGCAGUUAGCAUGGCCCUACCUGAUAUGAGUGAGGGCCCAGCUGGGAGGACAGUGUUUCUUCCUGAGAAAGCCCCUCCCCCGGAAGACCUCCCUGCCAGGCACAGCCCCACGGGCACAGGCUGGCACAGCCAGCAUGUCGAGGACACACCCUCCACCAGCUCUCCUCUUGGAGUCGGUCCUGCAUGGCCCCUUCCCUUCGCUACCUUGAUGCCAAGGCCUUAACUGGGGGGAAGGGAAGAAAGCAGAGGCCGCCAUAGUGGGAAAGUCGGAAAUAAAAUCUCGCCCUGCCUUCCCCCCAGGAAAAAAAACAAGCCGUGACAAAGCCUGGAUGAGGUUUGUUUUGAAGUGAAAAAUCCAUGCCAGUUCCAUUAGUUUGGAAAACCAGUUGCUGCCUGAAUAACUGAAACCUGUCCUAUAAGCGUGAACUGUCACCUCAAGGUGCUGGCCUCUAAUUGUGAGCGCACGUUGGCCAGAGCUGCUGGUUCUCCAGACUGGAGCACGUGACGCCUCCUCCCCCAGCCCUUCCACUCUGACAAUAUGCCACCACUGCCGCUCCCAGUGAUGCCCCUGGGAGAAAGCCCAGCGAUGCUGCCCCUCGGAGAUAAUGGCGUUGGAAAUGCAAUGCUAAUGGCUCCCCAGACAAGACCAGAAUAGCCUCGUGCUCUGCCUUCCUGGCGCACAGAGGCCACAGCCUGUGAGCACCGCAGGCGCCUCACGCCCCGCCCUCCCCAAGUGCCCGGAGCCAGCUUCAUGGCGAGAGCCACCUGUUCAUCAUCAUAGAGUUUUGUCCAACCUGCUGGAUGGGCUCAGAACAGAGGCGCAGCGCAGUGUUUGAGCCGGGAGAACCUGUGGCCCAGCAGGCACCUCCAUUCAGACUAUAAACUCGCUUUGCAAGUUGAUCAUCACCCACGAACUGGGCCAUGUUUGCCAUGCAGUUAAGAUGGAUUUGAAUCCACUUAUUUUCUUUUGCACCCCAGCUCCCACCCCCACCCAAAGCCUGAGCUGGUGUUUAAGAAAACAAUAAAAAUGACGUGGGCUGGUGGACUGUUGACCUUCUUUAUAUGGAAGUCACGUGAAGGUUGCAGACCAACUGCCAGGGGCAAGAGGAACGUCCCUGCACUUCUCCCAGGAGGCCUGGCAUCCCGGGGCUGCGCCUGAACUGCCUUGGGAAGGGGGCUCAAUUCUGAUGACAGUGGGCAUUGAAGAGGGAUGCUGGGCAGGUCUGCAGAUCACUGUGGCCAUACAGGCACUGCCUCUCUCAUCUGUUUUGUUUUAAAUGUGUUUUUGUUUAUUUCAGAGAG